CUCAAGGGCCCAUGGAGAUUGCCCCAGCAGCGACCUCGGAGAGGCCGGUGAUGAGGACGAGGGACGAGCAGGCAGGUCACCACCACCACCACCCCUGGGCGGCCACGCGUUCACAUCCUCCCACUGUGCCGCCGCACUAGGAGACAUGGAGCUGGAUGAGGAGUGCGACUGGAUCUGGAAGGAGUGCUCCAAUAAAUCAAGGGGAUGAAGGAUCAAAUCAAAUAUUGAGGUCGCCGCUUACAUCUUACUGACGAUCCUGGCGCGGGCGUCGGGAUGGAGCCCAGAGCGCCAGUCUCCUCCGGCGGUGGGGCGCCGGUGCGUUCGGGUCAACCCCGCCUCCGGCGGCCGUGGUGGCGGGAUCUGAGUCAUGGGUGGGGCGCCAGUUGGCGUCCAUGCUCCCCCUCCCCUCGCCCCUCCGGCUCGUCCGCCAUAGCCAACGAGUAGAUUGGAGAGGGAGGUCGCUUGCUCGGGAGAUCGAUUGAUGCGACGGCGCCUGCACGGAGAAGUGAGG
rnacentral:lncRNA from 1 species